GCAUGCUUUUAGAUUUAUCCAAAGGGUUUGACACGAGAGAGAAUACAGUAGACGGCACACGUCAAUGAUUUAUGAUUUAUGACCCUUUGUCAUGGGUCACGUGUGUAUGCCCAUAUAUGGGCAUCCCGGCGGGAAGUUAUCACGGGAGUUCAUAGGGAGUUCCCAUAUAUGGGCAUCCUGUCGUUCCCGUUCUCACACUUUAGAGGGAGUGUUGAUUUAUGCAUAUAUUUAAAUCUGUUCCUUUGAAGCUGUCAUGAUGAUUGAUGUGUAGGGACCUCGUUGAACUGGGGGAUGUGUUUGAACAUUUCAAAGAGUAUGGCCCACACCCUGUUUUAGUGACAUUAGGGCUGUUGUCUAUGAAACAGGAAUGUCCGGGGGUAUUGGUGGGGCAUAAAUAAGCCCCAGAACACCACAAGCGCCCCAGAACACAAAAUAAAUUAAAAAUAAACCCAGAACAUUAAACCGAAAAUUAAACAUGUCUCCUAGGCCAAUUCUGGGUGUACUUUGUGCCUCGUGUCAAGAACCCAAUGACAAAAGCAUCAAGGACAGUUUAUGUGAGGCCCCUGAAUGUUUUAAAGGAGUUUUGGAUAUGAGUGAUGGACAUAUGGCUAACAUAUUCCAACCGGAGUAUUCAACUGUGAAGAUUUUCACAGACAGCGGCCCCAGUCCCCUUUAUCAAGCAAAAUCCGGGAGUUUUUCUCCUGCGCUGCGUAUGAGAGAAUGGCUUAAGAUACGGCGGUUGAUUUGAAAUCCAUAAGAAUCUAUUCAAUGGCGUAUUGCCCCGACUCCAAAGUGACAAUUUUUAGCUUGUGAACAAUAUGAUAAGUUCAAAUGCUACAAAAUCAGUUAGUUCAUAUUUAUUUUCCAAAGCCUGCAAGGAUGUGAACUAUUUUAUGCCUGUCUUUAGCUUUAAGUGGGCCAAUUAUCAUAUAUUUCUGGCCAUGAUGAAAAAGCAGGAAAUCAUUACCAAAAUCGUGAACGAUUACGCCACUGGGCACUUCUAUCCUUAAGACAUACCUAGGGUCUACGUGCACAAUGUUUGAUCUGUCCAUGGAAUGAAAACUUACGGAACGUGGAAGGUGGUUGAUAUCUAGCGAGCAAGAGAGCCUGUCUUGACGACGGUAAAUUGGAAACGGAUGGAUGUCAGGAAAGGAAUAGUGAAAUUGUUUGUACUAAUUAUAGCAUGUUUUAAAAAGUCUGUACUAAAUAUUUAGAAUUAAAUAAAUGGUUUCAAAAUUGCAUCUCACCUUUAACUCCUGGAAUAUCACGCUCCCUCUCUCAGAAAAAAAGGCUUUCAGGAAAGACAGGUGUGUGUGCGUGUGCUUGCGUGUGUGCGUGUGCAGGCAUGUGUGUGUGUUUCAAAAACAAUGGUAUUUUUCGAGGGUGUGUGUCUGCAUGGGGGUGUUUGAAACCAGGUAGGCACUUUCGUGUCAUUAGCACACAAGCCUCUCAAAAUAAAAUGUAUUCCCCCCCCCCUCCAGAGGAUGUGGGGGCUCAAAAGUCAAACCCCACAGCCCCAAUAUAAACGGUCUAGACAUCCCCUAAGGUUUAAAAACAAUGUUAUUUCUAAUCAACACCGGUACUAACAGUUCAUUAUGCAUACCGGGUGUCACCAAAAACAGCAGGUGUUAUAUACCAGGAGGAUGUAGGAAGCAAAAGGCAAUGCCGCCAUCCCUGCAUAUAAUAGGUCUAGACAGCCCCCCCAAGGUUGAAAAACAAUGUUUAUUUCUAAACAACACCGUUACUAUUGGUUCAUUUUUGCAUAGAGGAUGUCGCCUGAAAAACACUAAACUUACCCAUCGCUCUGUAAAUUCAUUCCAUACUUUGUCUCAGUCAGGACACAGAGGCCCAGCUGAAAACUAUUUUCCUGCAUUUUUGCAAGCCUAUACACAUGGAGAAUUUCGAAGAUAUUCUAAAACGGGUGGACAUCGAUUUUUCAGAAUUCCAAACACUCCAAGAACCAUGGCUGUAACCGGUAGUUAUACACCCCCGGGAACCUCAAGCAAAUCGCUCCAUAAUCUAGCAUUUACGACGCAUCACAGUCCUUCACGACUCCGCACAACUGUGGUCCAAGUGCAUUGCGCAGAAUCACCCAGGCCCGAGAAGGGCUACUGGGCUGAAAACGUACGGAUUCAAGAAUAGGAGCUCUAUGGAUAUGACUCCAACGAUACACGCCCGGAAGAAUCUGUAAAGCCAUGUGAAAAUAUUCUAGAACCCCCGGUAUCCAUAAUUCCACAGAACAGCCUGCGUCAAAAAGCAGAGACUCCCCGGCGUAUACCGGCACAGAAGGCCCAACACAUCGAGAGCACGUGUUCGUGGAGGAAUUCGGCGCCCAGGACAUGCACAGUAAAACACUGAAACGGGAUGAUUUCAAUGCUUUAAAUGACAAUUCUGAGCUAGAAAAUUUGCUGUUGUGGCCAGCCACAUUGAUAGAGCCAAUUCUGAGGUAGAAACACCAGAUCCUGAAAUAGAACAAGAUAGGAUUCUCACAGCCUUUUACAGGGCUCUAAAAUCCAGAAAGGUCUUGCUACACAAACGUAUGGUGGCUUUACUCAAGCGGCAAUACAGUCAAGAUUAUCCUUCUGGCAUAGAACAAUGCCCCAUUUGUUAAACAACAAUCUGAUUAAAAAACGCAAAUACAAGCGCUAAAAUCUAUAUGUAAAAUGGAUCCUUCCAGAAUACCACAAGAACACACAUCCUUAAUUAACCAAAUGAUUGAGACCGGGGUGACAGAUCCCAUAAUUCAGACACUUGGAAACCUGUUAUCACAGAUCCCAGAAGAACUCAUAUCCUUAAUUAAUCAAAUGAAUGAGGCAGGGCCAACAGAUGAAAACCUGUUAUCACAGAUCCCCACCGAACUCAUAUCCUUAAUUAACCAAAUGAAUGAGAGCACAAGAUCUUCGACACCAGACCACCCACACACACCUCCUUUAACUCCCAUAUCCAAGGAGUCUGAACCACAAUACAAGGUUUUUGAGGAAUUUGACAAUUGUAGAAUAAAUCAGAGGGGCGAUGGUCUUGAUAGAAGUGUUCGGGUUGUGUUCCCCAAAUAAAUUCAGCAAUACAGAUUCAACAGUUUUUUAAAUUUCACAUAGCUGAAUCAGAACCUUGAUUAUGCAGUUUUUUCUGUGAUGAUAUUGGAUACUCUGAACAAACUGUUAGACAGGGCAACAGAUUUUGCCGAACCUCGCGAUGUCUUACAGCUUGAAAUGUGUGGAGAUAGCAUGCAAAACACUGUAUCUCUUGUUUUACCCAAUGGCACAGCAGAUCUUGAACAAUUUAUAGCCCUUCUGGAACAACUUGUUCAAUCUAAAUAAUCCAUCCUAGCUGAUAGGACCCUCGAGCUCAUAGUACUAAUAGUACAUCAACCCUUAGGUGGAGGGGGUCAGAGAAAGAAACUUGAUAGUCUCAUGCAAUCAGAAAUCAUAAGCAAUAAAAGGGCAUAUCUCAUAAACAUUCAAUGCAGUGGGUCUAGGUAUACAGGAUGCUGUGGCUUUCUCUGACAUCGUCAAAUUUGAAAAAUGUCUGAACAUCAAGAUUGUGGUUUUGUACCACAGUAGAGCUAAUGCAGCUCUCUUGAAAUUCCAGAACAACCCACAACCUCAUCCUCAGAUUCUGUACUUUUAUGUGCAAAACACCCAUUAUUAUGCUAUUACCAACAUCACAGCGUUUUUAGGAGCGCCAUAUGUGUCCAUCAUGUCAUACAGGCUACACCCAAAAGGAGGGCGCUCUUGUCGUUAUAACUGUUCAGUAUGUCUGGAUGAAACAUGUCCGAUGCAACCCUUAAACCUAACACCCUGUGCAGAUUGUCAACGCACAUCGUUCGGGCCUACUGCUACGAUAAACACAAAAUUGAGACAGGGCACCCCAAGGCAUGUAAAUCUGUAAGCAGUUGUGACAUCAACAAGAAAUGUCCAAAAUGCCAUUGCAAUUACAACCUUAAAAUAGACAGCCCAAACCUCAUGUGUAUGGAAUCAUACAUUGCCCAAUCUGUAAAGGGCCUUUGAAAAUCAGAGACGCUGAAAUGGUUCAAGAAGUGCCACACGAGUGUUAUAUUCAGCCCUUGGCUGAAGAUGAACAUUCAGAGAAAUAUGUGUUCUAUGAUUUUGAGACUAAUCAGCAAUCAGGUGUUCAUUUGCCUAUUUUUGUAUCUACCAUGACUUUCAAGGGUGAAAAGUGGUCGGCAGAGGGGCCCAAUUGUGCACUGUACUAUUUCUUAAACACUUCAGAAAACCCCAGUACACAAACUUCACGUUUAUAGCUCACAAUUCUACAGCCUAUGACUCCAAUAUUCUUUUGAACCCUCUGAUAAAACAAGGCGUUGCACCCAGUGUCAUAGCUCAAUGUAGUAAAAUCUUGUGUUUUGUAGACCCCGCCUUCAACCAGAGAUACAUUGACAGUUUAAGUUUCUUACCCAUGAGAUUGGCUCAAAUGCAUGAGGCCUUGGGUUUUGAAAACUCUGUGAAAGGGUGGUUUCCUCAUUUCUUCACAUCUGAGGAGAAUCUACAUUAUAUUGGAUCUUAUCCUAGCCUGGAAAUGUACAGGUGGAAUCAAAUGUCUCCCAAAGAGCGAGAGAGAUUGAUGACAUGGUAUGAGACAGUAUGUCAUUGCACCUUUGAUUUCCACAAAGAGAUGGAGUCAUACUGUGACAACGAUGUGGUUAUACUUCGUGAAGGAUGCUUCAGAUUCAGAGAAGAGGUAAUCAAAGAUGCCGGCAUUGACCCCUGGAGUUGUACAACUAUUGCAUUGACCCCUGGAGUUGUACAACUAUUGAAUUGGUGUGAAAACCUAUCGUACACACUUUUUACCUGCAGCAUCUAUAGCUAUUCCAUCGCCGGACAACUACCGACGCCAAUUCAAGUCAUACUCUAGUGGGUCCAUUCAAUGGUUGGAGUACUUGGCCCAACAUGCUUUGAAUAGGUGUGAGAAGGCAUUUGGGGCUUAUCACGUAGAUGGAUAGACACAGAUUGACGGUGUUGAGACCGUGUUUGAGUACAAUGAUUGGUUCUUCCACGGUUGUAAAUCUUGCUUUGUGCCCCAGGCCAUGUGUGUCCUAACCCAAAAUACUUUGGGGAAAAUGUUCCAAGAGUUCCAAGACAAAUUGGAAUCUUUACAGGCCACUUACGGGUUAAAAGUGAAUGUGAUGUGGGAGCAUGUAUGGAUUGCACUCAAAAAGUCUGAUCCUCAUGUUCAAGCUUUCCUUUCCAGCUUUAACACACCAGAACCCUCGGAACCAUGACAGGCCUUGUAUGUAGGCUGUACCAAUGCUUUGACAUUGCGGUAUGUAGUGCAACCCAACGAGACAAUAGGAUAUGUAGAUUAUACAUCCCUUUAUCUUCAUGUAAUGAGUUCCUCAUGCUAUCCUAUGGGGUAUCCUAAAAUUAUUCACCGCGACUUUGACUUACCCCAAAACUAUUUUGGUCUGAUCAAAGCAACUGUCUACCCUCCUAGGGGUUUGUUUAUACAAGUAUUGCCUUACAGGGACCUCAAGGAAAACUGUUCUUUCCCCUUUGACGCACCUGCAGUGAAAACAACAACCAGGAAAAGCCUUGUGAUCACUCAGAUCAAGAAGGAGCCCUGACAGGUGUAUGGGUCAUAGUUGAAUUCUCUAAGGCUCUAGAGAUGGGGUAUUGCGUGGCCAAAAUCUUUGAAGUGUGGAACUUUUCCAGGAAAUCAGACACUCUUUUUAAAGAGUACAUCAAGAUCUUCUUGAGAUGCAAGCAAAUGGCUUCAGGCUAUCCUGCAUCGGUCACAGAUCAAGAGAGCAAAGACAAGUAUAUUCAAGACUAUCACGACAGAGAAGGCAUACUUCUUGACCCAGACAGAUUAGAGGUCAACAAAACAAAAAGAAACGUGUCGAAAUUGUACUUAAACUCUCUUUGGGGGAAGCUUUCCCAGAAAAGCAAUAUGCUAACAACGUAGAUCAUUAAAGACCCCAAAGACUUUUGGAAUAUGUUUUUUUCGUACCAAUACGAAAUUUUAAAAUGAUCAUUCUUGAGUCAAGACAUUGCCCUGGUGCAAUGGAGACGUAACAAGAAGUGGGUUCUACCCCCGGGUAAUGUAAAUGUGUUUCUUGCAGCAUUUACCACGGCAUAUGGCCGACUUGAACUGUACGCCCUCAUGGAGCAGCUUCAGAGGCGGGUUCUUUACCACGACACAGACUCUGUGGUCUAUGUAAGCAAACAAGGUGAUUGGAACCCCCCGCUUAGCAACUAUUUGGGUGGUUUAACCUCUCUGGGAUAUGUGAGAUGCUAGCGUCCCACCUGGCCAAAAGCCAGUGAAAAUGCAGAGCGCCAAAUUCAAAUAAAUUAUUAUAAAAAUCUAACU